rnacentral:rRNA from 1 species
UAGUCCACGCCGUGAACGAUGUGUGCUAGCUGUCGGGCUUUAGGGUUCGGUGGCGGAGCGAAAGUAUUAAGCACACCGCCUGGGGAGUACGGCCGCAAGGUUAAAACUCAAAGGAAUUGACGGGGACCCGCACAAGCGGUGGAGCAUGUUCUUUAAUUCGAAGCAACGCGAAGAACCUUACCCACUCUUGACACACCUCUUGGGACUUUCAGAGAUGAUUGUUUUCGGUUCGGCCGGGAGGAUACAGGUGCUGCAUGGCUGUCGUCAGCUCGUGUCGUGAGAUGUUCGGUUAAGUCCGGUAACGAGCGCAACCCUUAUUGUUAGUUGCCAUCACUCAGUUGGGCACUCUAAUGAGACUGCCGGUGAUAAGCCGGAGGAAGGCGGGGACGACGUCAAGUCAUCAUGGCCCUUACGAGUGGGGCUAGAAACGUGCUACAAUGGCUAUGACAAUGGGCAGCGAACCAGCGAUGGUAAGCGAAUCCCUAAACGUAGUCUCAGUUCGGAUUGUUCU